CACCGGGUCGUCUAACCGAUCAGGACCCUGGCCUUUCAAGCCAGUGAAUGCGGGUGCGAGACCCGUCCCGGUGACCA
rnacentral:tRNA from 1 species